UACGUAGGGACCAAGCGUUGUCCGGAAUUAUUUGGGCGUAAAGAGCUCGUAGGCGGCUGUCCACGUCGGAUGUGAAAGCUCGGGGCUCAACCCUGAGAGGCCAUUCGAUACGGGACGGCUAGAGGUAGGUAGGGGAGAUUGGAAUUCCUGGUGUAGCGGUGAAAUGCGCAGAUAUCAGGAGGAACACCGGUGGCGAAGGCGGAUCUCUGGGCCUUACCUGACGCUGAGGAGCGAAAGCUGGGGGAGCGAACAGG
rnacentral:rRNA from 1 species